rnacentral:rRNA from 1 species
GUGUCAGCCGCCGCGGUAAUACAGAGGGUGCAAGCGUUAAUCGGAAUUACUGGGCGUAAAGCGCGCGUAGGUGGUUCGUUAAGUUGGAUGUGAAAUCCCCGGGCUCAACCUGGGAACUGCAUCCAAAACUGGCGAGCUAGAGUAGGGCAGAGGGUGGUGGAAUUUCCUGUGUAGCGGUGAAAUGCGUAGAUAUAGGAAGGAACACCAGUGGCGAAGGCGACCACCUGGGCUCAUACUGACACUGAGGUGCGAAAGCGUGGGGAGCAAACAGGAUUAGAAACCCCUGUAGUCC